GAGAGCCGCGAACGGGUGAGUAACACGUGGGCAACCUGCCCUCAGCUCUGGGAUAACCCCGGGAAACCGGGGCUAAUACCGGAUACGACCACCGGGGGCAUCUCUGGUGGUGGAAAGAUUUAUCGGCUGAGGAUGGGGCCCGCGGCCUAUCAGCUUGUUGGUGGGGUGACGGCCCACCAAGGCGACGACGGGUAGCCGGCCUGAGAGGGCGACCGGCCACACUGGGACUGAGACACGGCCCAG
rnacentral:rRNA from 1 species